rnacentral:tmRNA from 1 species
GGGGGUGUCAUGGUCUCGACAGGAUCAUGUUUGAUUCAAGCUGCAGUGGAGUGAUUACCUAAUAAUCAAACAAAAUUAACUGGAAACAGAAAUUUAGCUUUCGCUGCUUAAUUAGUCAAAUUUAGACUUCAGCGCGCUACCUGACGGUUGGCCAUUGGCUGUCAAAUUAGCGUCAGAAACAAUGGAUAAGCGUAUCAAAUCUUCUGUACUGAUGCGUCGAAAACUUAACAGAAGACCCGUAAACGUUGUUGUCUGUUACUUAGUUUGCGGUACGAUAACAGACUAAACUGUAGACGCUUGAAUGUGGAACUUUUCUUGGACAGGAGUUCGACUCUCCUCACCUCCACCA